AGUUUAUCCAAGAAAGAAGACACAAAGGAAAAUAUAAUGGUCCACAACCUCUCUAGCAGUAAACCAAACUAAUACAAGGGCAAAAAUGAUCUAAUUCUGGCUUAGAUAAAUUAUAUCUCUAACUCUGUCAACCAUGAGAGAUUGAAAAAAGCAUAACCGAGAUAUGUGAGUGCCAUGAAAUUCUGAACAACUUGCCUCCUAGAAAGGUGACCUUCAGUGGAAGCUUCCUAAUUGCUUGCAAAGACACAGAUUGUCUGAAUCGUUCUGUCAAUAACGCUGCCCUACUCCAGGGCACCAGGGUGCCGACAGCCUGCCUGGCACUCCGUGGCUCUGAGGGAAGCGCACAGGAUGCACCCAUGUCAAGCACUCUGAGAUCUACUUGCAAUUCCUUGGAGUCUCUAGACUUCUAUACAGAAGAAAAAUAGAAGGACUUCUGACAUUAGAAAAGUCUAUGCAAAUGAAUCCUGAAUAAUGAGAUGGAAGGAUUCAAGUACCUCUUCAGAGAUGCUGGAAGUCCUGAGCUGACACUGGAAACAACGUAUCUCAAGGACUUUCAGAAUUGGCCAAGCAUGUUUUGCACCUUA